AUGCAAAGAACUUUGAAAAGAGAGUUAAAGAGUACCUGAAAUUGCUGAAAGGGAAGCGAAGGAAACCAGUGUCGGCUCGGUCAUACUUCCCUGCCCGCUUGCGGGUUGGGCGCUGUGUCCGGCCUCGGUUGUUCUUGGUUGGUUCCGCUGGAAGAGCGCGGUGAGAGUUGAUCUCCGUUGCUAGCAGCGGUCCUGACUGAGGAGGACGAAAUGGUUUUCUUUACCCCGUCUUGAAACACGGACCAAGGAGUCUAACAUAUGUGCGAGUACAGAGGUGGCAAACCUCCGUGCGUAAUGAAAGUGACAGUGGUUGGAAUUUUUGCACAAUCCGCCGGCCAUAAUCCCUCGGGAGAACGGUCUGAGUGUGAGCAUACAUGUUGGGACCCGAAAGAUGGUGAACUAUGCCUGAAUAGGGUGAAGCCAGGGGAAACUCUGGUGGAGGCUCGUAGCGAUUCUGACGUGCAAAUCGAUCGUCAAAUUUGGGUAUAGGGGCGAAAGACUAAUCGAACCAUCUAGUAGCUGGUUCCCUCCGAAAUUUCCCUCAGGAUAGCUGCGAUCGACUUUCAAUUUUAUCA
rnacentral:rRNA from 1 species